UUAAUGGAGAGUUUGAUCCUGGCUCAGGACGAACGCUGGCGGCGUGCCUAAUACAUGCAAGUCGAGCGCUUGGGGAGUUCCUUCGGGAAUCCCCCGGGAGCGGCGGACGGGUGAGUAACACGUAGGCAACCUGCCUGUAAGACUGGGAUAACUACCGGAAACGGUAGCUAAGACCGGAUAAGUGGUCUUCUCGCAUGAGAGGAUCAAGAAACACGGGGCAACCUGUGGCUUACAGAUGGGCCUGCGGCGCAUUAGCUAGUUGGUGGGGUAACGGCUCACCAAGGCGACGAUGCGUAGCCGACCUGAGAGGGUGAUCGGCCACACUGGGACUGAGACACGGCCCAGACUCCUAC
rnacentral:rRNA from 1 species